rnacentral:rRNA from 1 species
ACCGCAUUACUAGAGUCGAGUUGCUCGGGAUUGCAGCUCAAAGUUGAUGGUAAAUUCCAACUAAGGCUAAACACGAGUGGGGAGAUCGAUCGCGAACGAGCACUGUGAAGGAAAGAUAAAAAUAACUUUGAUAAGAGAGCAAAGAGUGCCUGAAAUUACUGAGAGGUAGUCCAUGU